rnacentral:misc_RNA from 1 species
GCCAGCCAUCUGCUACUACCCAAACGACGAUGUUUUGGUCACAGUUGCCGAGUCUAAUGCGGACUUCACUCUUGUUUCUGGCAACCAAAUGCGUGAAGUCAUGGAGUCAAAACUUUAUAUUCCAGAGUUGCCUGUAUCGGAUUCAACAGCGGCAACUAUAGCCUUCCAAAUAACACUAUUUCCAAAUCAAGGCUUUUCCAUUGGUAUCUCUUCCCACCAUGCUAUCUUUGACGGCAAAAGUGUGAUCAUGUUUAUGAAAGCAUGGGCUUACAUAUGCAAACAGAGCGAAACGGAGACCAACCCAUCUUUAUUACCUGAGCUAAUUCCGGUUCUCGAUCGAAGUCUCAUUCAGGACCCAGAAGGUCUUUCCAUGAUUUACUUGAACAACUGGUUGGAAGCCAAAUUGCCAGGUUUGAAUACCAUUAAUCCUAAGAGUUUAAAGCUAUUUCAGGGUAAAGGAGUUCCACCCAACUCAGUACGAUCAACGUUCGAGUUGUCUCGCGAAGAUAUACAGAAACUGAGGCGAAAGGUAAUCUAUCAAUUGGAAGGCCUCCAUGAAGAAGAUUCGAAUCAAAUUAAAUCAGCGCAUUUUUCAACUUUUGUUCUCUCAUUUGCUUAUACUUUGGUUUGUAUCGUGAAAGCGCGAAUGGCCGAAAGGAACAGAAAGAUUGUUUUUGUAUUCGUAGCAGAUUGUAGAGCCCGUUUGGACCCUCCAAUACCUGCCAAUUAUUUUGGUAACUGUGUCAAAGGCAUCCGUAUAUUUACAGAAGCAGAAACUCUUCUUGGAGAUGAUGGGGUUGCCUUUGCUGCAGAGAAGCUUAGCGAGCGGAUAAAAGGGUUAGAGAAAGGAGUGAUAAGCGAAAGAGAGAAGGAAAGGCUUGCAAUCUAUUUGGAAGUUAUGGGGGCAGGAGGUACAGCAAUAGGCAUUGGGGUUGCUGGGUCACCUCGAUUCGAGGUUUAUGGGACAGAUUUUGGGUGGGGAAAGCCAAAGAAGGUGGAAAUUACAUCCAUAGAUAGGGGGAAAUCCAUUUCCUUAACGGAGAGCAAAGACGGGGG